UACGAAGGGGGCUAGCGUUGCUCGGAAUCACUGGGCGUAAAGCGCACGUAGGCGGAUUGCUAAGUCAGGGGUGAAAUCCUGGAGCUCAACUCCAGAACUGCCUUUGAUACUGGCGACCUUGAGUCCGGGAGAGGUGAGUGGAACUGCGAGUGUAGAGGUGAAAUUCGUAGAUAUUGGGAAGAACACCAGUGGCGAAGGCGGCUCACUGGCCCGUAACUGACGCUGAGGUGCGAAAGCGUGGGGAGCAAACAGG
rnacentral:rRNA from 1 species